rnacentral:piRNA from 1 species
UUGAAAGAACCCAUAGAACCAUCAAAGAG